CUCAUGAGAUCACAUGGUUUUACAAACAGUUUUUCUGCUCAUUCUCUGGUUUUGCCUGCUGCCAUCCAUGUAAGAUGUGACUUGCUCCUCCUUGCCUUCCACCAUGAUCGUGAGGACCCCCAGCCAUGUGGAACUGCUUUCUUUUUUAAAUUGUCCAAUCUCAGGAGUUUCCCUGCACAUUCUUUUUGCCUGCUGCCAUCCAUGUAAGAUGCUACUUGCUCCUCCUGCCUUCUGCCAUGAUUGUGAGGCCUCCCCACCCUUGUGUGACUGUAAGUCCAUUAAAUCUCUUUCUUUUGUAAAUUGCCCAGUCUCAGAUAUGUCUUUAACAGCAGCAUGAAAACAGACUAAUACACUAAGCUUUUGGUUUUAUAUAAUACAUCAUUCCUAUUUAUUAUGCAUUUAUGAAUAUUAGAAGAUAUUUGGAAUGCCUUUUAGUAGUCACAAAAUUGUGGAAUAAUAGCCAGACACAGGAAUUAAGAAUAUUGACUAAGAUAUAAAUACAGAAAACAAACCAGGCUGCCCAUCCUAUCUAUCAGUAUAUCCAUUUUGUUUUAUUUUCUAUGUAGAUUUACUCUUUGGCCAUUUUUAGCUAUUUCUACUGAUGCAAGCUGGUCCAAACCACUAUAAUGUUUUACGUGAAUUAUUACUAUAGGCUUCCAAUGCAUUCCUGACAUUCCAUCCUUACUUACAUUUAAUUUUAUUUUUCCCACCAAAUUACCCAGUCAUGCAAUUUUAUGUAAACCAGAUCAUGUCACUAUUCUACUCAAAAUCUCCUAUUAGCUUUAACUCUUACUCCUCCUUUGAGCAUUUACUCAAUGUCUUAUUCUUAGUGAAGCCUUCCCUAACAAACCCAAGUGAAACUGCAAUCUGCUCACCCACCCAGG
rnacentral:lncRNA from 10 species